rnacentral:lncRNA from 1 species
CCCAAGUACACUGUGUCAAUGUCUGUGAUAAUAUUUGAUUCAGCAUGAAACCCAUUUAUCCCAAAUGGGAGUGCUCCGAUAUAAAUAGAAAACAGAAGAAAAUACCUGUACAGAACAAAACAUUGGUUUCCUUCCCCCUUACUUAGAUUCCCUAUCAAAAUAUGUUCGUUGUUAGAAAUAAACUUCAAAGAACUUCGGAAAGAAAUGCCUUCAACUGCAAUAUGUUGGCGAUACAAAACUAUCCAUACCCCCUGCAUGUUUAUGCACCUGUCCUGAUUGAUUCAGGGGCCUGUCGUUCAGCAGUUAAAUAUCGUUCGUUGAUGUUCAUAAAUAUUAUUUGGUAUUUUCCCGUUUGUAUAUAUAUAAAUUAGAUCGUUGGUUUUCCUGUUCGAAUUGUGUACACUUAUAAUUUUGGGGUCCCUUAUAGCUUGCUGUUUGGUCUGGGUCAAAGCUCUGCCAUACGUACUAUGACCUGUAUUUGCUAUUAUCCCUCAGAAGGGCACAUAUGGGGUCAUUUUACUGUUGUAAAAAAGAAACUUGAAGAAAUACCAAGGAUUUGCAUAGUGUUGCUAAACAAAUCCUUUGAAGAACAAUUAACUAAAAGAGAGGAGAAAUACA